rnacentral:rRNA from 1 species
UACGUAGGGCGCAAGCGUUGUCCGGAAUCAUUGGGCGUAAAGCGCGCGCAGGCGGCCUUUUAAGUCUGAUGUGAAAGCCCACGGCUCAACCGUGGAAGGUCAUUGGAAACUGAAAGGCUUGAGUACAGAAGAGGAAAGCGGAAUUCCACGUGUAGCGGUGAAAUGCGUAGAGAUGUGGAGGAACACCAGUGGCGAAGGCGGCUUUCUGGUCUGUAACUGACGCUGAGGCGCGAAAGCGUGGGGAGCAAACAGG